GCCAGCACGGCAUUGUAGGGCUCCACCACAGUGUCCGACACCUUUGGUGAGGGCAUCACGCUGAACGAGUUCAGGAUGCGGUCGGGGUACUCCUCGCGGAUCUUGC
rnacentral:miRNA from 1 species